UACGAGGGGUGCAAGCGUUAAUCGGAAUUACUGGGCGUAAAGCGCGCGUAGGCGGCUUGAUAAGUCGGAUGUGAAAGCCCUGGGCUCAACCUGGGAACUGCAUCCAAAACUACUGAGCUAGAGUACGGUAGAGGGUAGUGGAAUUUCCUGUGUAGCGGUGAAAUGCGUAGAUAUAGGAAGGAACACCAGUGGCGAAGGCGACUACCUGGACUGAUACUGACACUGAGGUGCGAAAGCGUGGGGAGCAAACAGGAUUAGAAACCCUGGUAGU
rnacentral:rRNA from 1 species